rnacentral:rRNA from 1 species
GACGAACGCUGGCGGCAUGCCUAACACAUGCAAGUCGAACGAGACCUUCGGGUCUAGUGGCGCACGGGUGCGUAACGCGUGGGAACCUGCACUUAGGUUCGGAAUAACUCCCCGUAAGGGGUGCUAAUACCGGAUAAUCUCUUCGGACCAAAGAUUUAUUGCCUUUGGAUGGGCCCGCGUUGGAUUCGGUAGUUGGUAGGGUAAAAGCCUACCAAGGCGACGAUCCAUAGCUGGUCUGAGAGGAGGAUCAGCCACACUGGGGCUGAGACACGGCCCAGACUCCUACGGGAGGCAGCAGUGGGGAAUAUUGGACAAUGGGCGAAAGCCUGAUCCAGCAAUGCCGCGGGAGUGAUGAAGGCCUUAGGGUUGUAAAGCUCUUUUACCCGGGAUGAUAAUGACAGUACCGGGAGAAUAAGCUCCGGCUAACUCCGUG